rnacentral:rRNA from 1 species
UACGUAGGGGGCAAGCGUUGUCCGGAUUUAUUGGGCGUAAAGCGCGUGUAGGCGGCCAGAUAGGUCUGCUGUGAAAACUCGAGGCUCAACCUCGAGCUGUCGGCGGAAACCAUCUGGCUAGAGUCCGGAAGAGGAGAGUGGAAUUCCUGGUGUAGCGGUGAAAUGCGUAGAUAUCAGGAGGAACACCUGUGGCGAAAGCGGCGCACUGGACCACAACUGACGCUGAGGCGCGAAAGCUAGGGGAGCAAACAGG